ensembl:snRNA U6 U6 spliceosomal RNA
GUGCUCACUUUGGUAGCAUAUAUACUGAAAUUGGAACGGUACAGAGAUUAGCAUAGUUCUGUGCAAGGAUGGCAUGCAAAUUUGCAAAGCAUUCCAUAUUUUA